UACGUAGGGGGCAAGCGUUGGUCCGGAUUUAUUGGGCGUAAAGAGCGUGUAGGCGGCCAGGUAGGUGGGUUGUGAAAACUGGAGGCUCAACCUUCAGACGUCGACCCAAACCCCCUGGCUAGAGUCCGGAAGAGGAGAGUGGAAUCCUGGUGUAGCGGUGAAAUGCGCAGAUAUCGAGGAAGAACACCCGUGGCGAAGGCGGCACUCUGGGAGCGG
rnacentral:rRNA from 1 species